AUCAGGUGGCAGUGAGCUUGUAGUGUACAGUGGUACAUCAGGAAGAGAACAAUGCACUAUAGCACCACCCACCUAAACAACUACUUUACCCAGCAGAGAUGAGACGUCAAUAAUCAGUAGAACUGCAACAAGGAUCAACUUAAAUACAGUCAUGAAAUACAACGUCAUCAUUUCCAUCUUCUACAUAGCUUUUAAUAUCAUUCUGGUUUCAGGUUCCUCUCUCAGUGAUAAAGUCCACCAGACUCCAGCUCAUAUGUACAAAAAUCCUGGAGAAGAAGCUAAAAUCUACUGUUCACACAGUAUAGACGACUAUGACCAAAUACUCUGGUACAAACAGUCAAAAGGACAAAUUCAGUUCCUGGGAUAUAUGUACAAGACCAAUGGUAAUCCAGAGAACGGACUUGAUGUGAAGAUGGAAGGAAACGCAGAUAAAAACCAGAACUGCACAUUAACAAUUAAAGACCUGGAUGUGAACAGCAGUGCAGUGUACUUCUGUGCUGCUAGUUACCACAGUGCUACAUCUCACUGCUCCUUAAUACAAAAACCUCCUCAUCACAGCUCUUGGCCUCCUGCACCUGUUUGUCUUCUCCAGUCUAUCAAUAUCUGGAUCUUUAUACUGAACCAUUGUUGUCAUGUCAGAAGAGGAGGACGCACAAUGACACCACCCACAUAAAGACUGGGGAGGGUUUAGUUCAGAAAG